rnacentral:lncRNA from 1 species
UUCCUCCGGCAGAUACUUUAUCCCAGCCAUUUAUAAUGCUGACCAUUUAUAAUGCUGACCAGACUCAAAGUAACUAAAACCAGCUGUAACCAGAGACAUGCACAGACUCAAGUGUCCAGUUAUGUACUCUGUUGGAUGAUAUGACCUUCAAAAUUAAUCUUUGGGAAAUCAACUGCCUCUUCAUUCUUCCCCAGGCCUUCACAAUGAACAGAAAGCUGCAGUUUCCUCCUCUGUAUUCUUUCUCCACUCCCACUCGCCUCAUGUACCCCACUGACCCAGGUAUGAGAAACCCAGCCUGCACCUUCUAUAGCACCACAUGCCUAGACUGAGGAAAGAUCCACAAAUGCCACUCUUCUUCGAAUAGCCUACCUUCAUGAAGUCUCACCAACCCGCUGAAUAUGGACUCCAACGGUGCCCUAGGGGAUGGUGGAGCCACCAGAUGGAAGGAGCCUGGUGAUCCCGAGAAGGAGAGAUGCCUCGCUGACCUGAACAUCUUUCCAGAACUGUUAAAUGAAGCCUGCAGGACACCAGCUGACAGUGGAAGGACUGAGGAAGGUUGUAUAAUUUUGUGCAAGGUCCACCACAAAUCCAGCUGAAGAACUGCUCCAAAGUUUAGGUCAUGGCAAGAACAAGACUGGAUCACUCCAUGUCAGUGGAAACAUGUCCACCAACUUCAUCAUUGUCUGUUGUCAUGGUUCACUUUAGAUGUAAACUUGACUGGAUUAAGGAUUCCCUAAAGUGUCAGGCCUCUGAGCCCAAGCUAAGCCAUCAUAUCCCCUGUGACCUGCAUGUACACAUCCAGAUGGCCGGUUCCUGCCUUAACUGACGACAUUCCACCACAAAAGAAGUGAAAAUGGCCUGUUCCUGCCUUAACUGAUGACAUUAUCUUGUGAAAUUCCUUCUCCUGGCUCAUCCUGGCUCCAAAGCUCCCCCACUGAGCACCUUGUGACCCCCACUCCUGCCCACCAGAGAACAACCCCCUUUGACUGUAAUUUUCCUUUACCUUCCCAAAUCUUAUAAAAUGGCCCCACCCCAUCUCCCUUUGCUGACUUUCUUUUCAGACUCAGCCCUCCUGCAACCAGUUGAUUAAAAGCUUUAUUGCUC